GUGGGAUCUAUGAUGUUAUAUUGAACUGCGUUAUCUGUCUGCAAAUUCCUUGAGGAAGACUUGUAAUAAGCUGAGAUCCUGA
rnacentral:snoRNA from 1 species